AGUGAACGCUGGCGGCGUGCCUAAUACAUGCAAGUCGAACGUAGUGGCUCACGUUUGUCUAAUUUAUAGCUAAUCUUCCCUACACUACAGCACAACAGUUGGACACUACUUCUAAUACUCUUUAGUUUAGGAUUAGGCUAUAUUGUAUCAGUUAGUUGGUGAGGUAAUGGCUCACCAAGGUUAUGACGCAUAACUGGUCUGGGAGGAUGAUCAGUCAUACUGGAACUGAGACUAGGCCCGGACUCCUACGGGAGGCAGCAGUAGAGAAUAUUGCUCAAUGGGGGUAACCCUGAAGCAGCUACCCCGCGUGGAGGAUGACAAUUUUCGGAGCGUAUACUCCUUUUGUUAGGGAAGCGGUAGCAAAAGAAUAAGGACCGGCUAACUCCUUACCAGCCGCCGCGGUAAUUC
rnacentral:rRNA from 1 species